rnacentral:rRNA from 1 species
AAUCAACGCUGGCGGCGUGCCUCAGACAUGCAAGUCGAACGAUUAAAGCUCUCUUCGGAGAGUGCAUAGAGUGGCGCACGGGUGAGUAACACGUAAGUAAUCUACCCUCGAGUGGGGAACAACGUCCGGAAACGGGCGCUAAUACUGCAUAAUGCAGCGGCAUCAUAAGAUGACAGUUGUUAAAGAUUUAUCGCUUGAGGAGGAGCUUGCGGCAGAUUAGCUAGUUGGUAAGGUAACGGCUGACCAAGGCUACGAUCUGUAACCGGUCUUAGAGGACGGUCGGUCACACUGACACUGAAUAACGGGUCAGACUCCUACGGGAGGCAGCAGUCGGGAAUUUUGGGCAAUGGGCGAAAGCCUGACCCAGCAACGCCGCGUGAAGGAUGAAGUAUUUCGGUAUGUAAACUUCGAAAGAAUAGGAAGAAUUAAUGACGGUACUAUUUAUAAGGUCCGGCUAACUACGUGCCAGCAGCCGCAGUAACAC